rnacentral:tRNA from 1 species
GCCCGCCUAGCUCAAUUGGAUAGAGCGUCAGACUUUUACGAGCAGGUGGUUUCUUGCCAACUGUGAUCUGAAGGCUGCGAGUUCGAUCCUCGCGGUGGGCU